AAUCCAUGGUGGGGGCAUUCUCUUUGAUAUUCCUUGUAGCGCUCCCAAGCUUCAUGAAAGGGUUCGUUGGAUUUUUGCUUGAAGUUGGAUAUUAUGUGCCUCAGUGC